rnacentral:tRNA from 1 species
GCUUUGAAUGCUGCAAUUGAGGCAGCUCGUGCUGGAGAUGCGGGUAAAGGUUUUGCUGUUGUGGCUGAACAAGUGCGAAAACUUGCCGAAGAU